UAAAACUCAUUCAGCUACUCCCAGCACAAUUGUACAGAAGCAACAGUUUUCGACUACCUUCCGUAUGAGAAAGUUCACCUGCACCACACCGGACCAGCACUGAGAUUUAGCAGUUUUUUCCAACAGUCCACGACCAACAGCCAAGCCGAACACACAGAUUUCCGACCAGCAUCCGCCUUCGCUCCAGAUCCGAUCGACUGUAGUGAAUCCCUAAAAAAAAUUGCAACGGACGAUCCGAAUCCGACGACGCAGAUCAUCAUCGUGCCCGGUAACCAGCGAAUAAUAUAAAGCGCCACCGUCACCAUGUUCGCCAUUAUGCAGCUAGAUAACGACGUCAGUGGCAGGGAGUUCCGCAGGAAGAUGCGUGCCAAGUGCGAGUUCAUCUGCAAGUACUGCCAGCGCAGGUUCAACAAGCCCUACAACCUGAUGAUCCACGAGAGGACGCACAAAAGUCCGGAGCUGACUUUCAGCUGCGAGGUCUGCGGCAAGAGCUUCAAGCGUCAGGACAACCUCAAACAGCACAGAUGUAAUCAAUGCAUUUGGCGGUAAGGGGCUCCCCUCUGGGCACACAUUUGGGCCAACCCGGCUCUGUCUUCUUUAAUUGCAAUGACAAUUCAUUAUCCGUCAACACCGGCCUACAAUUGUUUUUCGAGAUACUGAAAAAAUCUUGGGAACAAUCAUUUAAUCACUUUCCGAAACAGUAUUCCACAUUAUUAAUUUAUUGUCUUUGCAUUUUUGUACAUACUUUAGUUAUUAUGGAAAUUUAUUAUUUAUAAAAACAUAGCGUGGCAUUUAAGUGAAUGGAGGAUGACAUGAAGAAGAAAUGAAAUUUUGCUUAGCCGUUUAUGUCGUUCUUCAAAAUUUAUUCUAAACACGAGGAGGACUAUCUGAAUGUCUAGUCUAUAUUCUGUACUUGAUCAAAUUCCGACAAAAUUUAUAGCGAUAUUCAAGAUUAUUUAAAUUAUAAAAAUAUUCAACUCAAAUAUAUAAUUAUUUUAGCAGAUAUGACAGGCAGUAUAUAAACAAAGUCGUACCCAUUUUUUUGGACAACAUUUAUCAACUUUUCGGUGAGAAUAUCGUUAUGAAUUUGGUACUUAGUGCAAUCAAAUCAUCUCACUUUUUUUAAUAUUUAUAUAAUUAUUUUAGAAUUUGUACAGUGAUUUUUUAUAUUAAAGUACUUUCUAAACAUGCUUACAAUUAUUAAUUCUUAGUAAAAUAUUAAGAAUGUACUAAUAUCUCAUUUUUUAUUGUAAAUUAUUUUAUUUUAACUGGUUAUAUUUUGCCAAUGCAAAAAAAUAAUUCAGUGGCUUUCCGUAAUAUUUAGAUGACAUUUGAUGCAAUAUAUUAAAAAUCAAGAAAUAUAUUUAGUUUUAUUUUAUUUAUUAACUUAGUUUUUGGCAUUGUACAUUAUUUUGCUCCAUUGAAAUAAAAAAUAGCACAUA